UUUAAGUCCAGGAAGCAGAAGUUGCAGGGAGCCAAGAUUGCACAACUACACUCAAGUACUGGCAACAGAGGGAGACAUUGUCUCAAAAAUAAACAGAUAAAUCAAUCAAUAAAUAAUUAUGUAUCCAGCUAGAUGUAACCACACAUGACUACGGUCCCAGCUACUCAGGAAGAGGAGGUAGGAGGACUGAAUAAGCCCAGAUGUUCAAGGCUACAGUGAGCUGUAAUUGUACCACUGAAAAGACACUGUAUUCUAGCCUGGGCAACAUAGAGAGACCCCAUUUCUUAAUUAAUUAUUUAUUUAAGAAACAUAUAACUGGAGAAAUCAUCAUUCAAGUAACUUGUAUACCUGGAGAAAAACAUAUGACCACUGAAUAAAGUACAACAGUUUACUACUGAUCAUAGAGUUCCUUUUACUUGCUUCUAAUCUUUUUAUUGCUUAUAAAACUAGAGACAUGGUUCUACAAUUAAAGGCAGUUUAUCACAGAACAAGUCAAAAAGUCAAAAGAACUGCAUCCAAAGUGUAGGAUGUGUUAUUUGCUGCUCCCUGCAAAUAGUGGAUUUGGUCAUUAAGAAUCAGCAGGACUUUUAGUGUGUACAUAUGUAAGUGCAAGAGCACGUGUGUAUAUGUGCAUGUACAUGUGUAUGUGUGUGUGUGUGUAAACUAUGACAGAUAAAACCAUUUUUGCUUAUGUAAGAAUAUGUAACAUAACUUGUACUUCUCACAAAGGAAUUGUUUUUCUGUCUUCUGCACUCAGUGGGUAUCUCCAAAACAUAAUCUCCAAUUUGUAUGGGUGCACGCUGGUUCAAUUUUACAGUUCUUAUUGCCAUUUACUUAUGGUACAAGAAAGGGAUUGUUGAGUUCCCAGUUCUAAAGAUAGUUACUUUCUUAGUGACACAAAUUAAUACAUAAUACAGUUCACCCUUGAACAGCAAGGGUUCGAACUGCAGGGGUUUACUUAUAUGCAGCCUAAUCAACCUGAAGAUAAUGAAGAUGAAGACCUUUGUAAGGAUCCACUUAUGUUUUAUGAAAAGUAAAUAUAUUUUUUCUGAUGAUUUUCUUUCUAACAGCUUCAUUUAAGAACACAAUAUAUAAUAAUGCAGCACAAAUAAAAUAGGUUUUAAUAGACUGUUUAUGUUAUCAGGAAGGCUUCCAGUCAAUGGUGGGUUAUUAGUAGCUAAGAUGGGAAAAUUAAAAGUUAUACUCAGAUUUUCAACUGCACAGAGAUUAGAUUCCCUGACCUCCACAUGAUUCAUGGGUCAACUAUUUACUAAAUACAAACAAUUUAUUAUAAAAAUGAAACAGAAGAUCCCUAUGUAUAACAAGUUCAAUUUGUUAUAAUGUGACUAUAGAGAAAACAUAAAACAUACCAACUUGACAAUCUUUUUUCUUAUUUAUGCAAAAAAUAUUAUACAGAAGUUUUGGGAUUGUAAUUAAGUAAAUGAUUUUUUUUCAAUCAAUACUGUUUCAGAUUAUAGAUACAACUACCUUCUUAAAUAACUCUGAAUUCCAAACUAAAGAAGUUAAAUUUUGAAAAUUAAUUUACAUAUAUGUAUAUACACAUAUAUAUACUUGCAAUUUACACAUAUUUUUAAACUGGUCUUUUUCCCAUUAAAACUACCUUAAUCUUACAUCUUUCUUAUCAAGAGUAGGACCAACAAGAUAAAUGAGAAAUUUACUAUCAGAAGUCUUACUUGUAUUGAAGUGUCUUCUUUUUAUGUUCCAAAAUUUGGUGUCAAAUUCUAUGGUAUAAAAACUAAUAAAUAAAAUUGUUAUUUUAAUACUAAAAUAAAAAAUAUUUACCAAACAUCAUAAGUUCUUAAACCAUUUCAGGCAAUAUCAGCGCUAAUAAUAGAACUUUAAUUUCUGUCCCAUACACUUCAAAAUUUUAAGCUUUACAAGUUUAUUAACCUUUUAAUUAAAGAAAAAAAAAGUGAAGUACUCAUGAAUGGAGGGAGCACAGCUUAGUAAAUUAACUAUAGUUAGCUGGAAAUUGUGCACAGUGUCCUGCACUCAGAACAAGUCCUUGCUCUGUAACCAGUAGGUAUUUGUGUUCAGACAAGUUGCUUCUGUUAGGCUCCAUGGUUUCUUCUAAAAAAUAAGGAUUUUGCUGCCUUACUUCACUAGGUUGUUAGGAAGAUGUAAUGAGAUUACAUGCUUAAAUGUUCAGAGAAAUAGUAAAGCAAUGGAAUAAUUUAUUCUUGAACUUUAUUGCUGAAACUAUUUUGGAGUCCCAAAUAAAGCUUGAUGUUUGUUUUUCCAUAGGUUCUAAUAUGUGAAUGUUGCAGUUUUCAUAAAAUGUUAUUAAGUGCUAAUUUUAUUAGUUGUAUUUAUUGUGGCUUGUAAAUCAGGGCAUUUUAGGUAAUUCAUAACUAAAUUUAUAUAUAAAUAUAUGAUUAUCAUUAAAAUAGAUAACAUAACUGUCCCCUAUUACUGAGCUCAUCAAUCACGCCAAGAGCAGAAAAUUAACAGAUGUCAAAACCUGGCUUGGACAACCACCACUCCUUCUCUACCUCCUCAAACUCUGAGCCAGCACAUCUGUGCCAGGAUGCUGAAUCUCCAUGGUCCGCUCCAACUAACAGACAAGAAAAAACCCUGCUUUCAUUGUUUUUCAGGUUUAUGAAGGAAAUGCAAGUUGACAUUUUCCCAUUUCCAAGACAUGUACUAAUAACAUAUUUGCAUGUAACAUCCCAUGUGUUACUCAGCUCUGUUCUCAUUUCAUCGAUCACCAUACAUCAAUAGUUAUAUAGUGAUUAUCACAAUUUUAAUAUCGGGUAUCUCCAAUUUUGGUUUGACUCACACUGCUUCCUUGGAGCUGGUCAAAAAAUAGUCAAAUGACCUUCCAGGGUCAUUGCACAAUAUGGAAUGCUUUAUGAAUCUGUGUGCCAUCCUUAGGCAGCAGCCAUGUUCAUGCUUAUCUGCUCUGUAUUGAUCCAAUUUUAAAGUAUAUGCUGCUGAAGCAAGUACAAAGCCCUGUUUUAUACAUGGAUAUUCAUGAGUCAUAGAUGGCUCUGUUAAAUCCAAAUCACCUGCCUGAGAUUCAGAUAAUUUUACUGAAUGGCUUCCUAUAAGGUAGAACUUUAAAAUAUAUUUAAAACUUGAGGUAGAUAUGCAGGUAGCCUCGGAGAUUUUUAUUCUUGUACAAAUGGAUUAUCUGCGGGGCCAACUGCAAGUUGGCUCCCACUGCUCUGUGGACAGGUAACAUGGAACCUUCUGCUAUCUAACCAAAGCUGCUGCACAGGAUAUAAAAAAGUCUCAACAUACAAAUCUGACAGCAAAAGGGAAAGGGAACUCUAAUCUCUUCCUGCAACAUUAUCUGAACAUCUCUGACUGGUGGGAACAAUCUCAACUAAUACUUGUUAGAGAAAAGACCAACAGGGGUCUCAAAGGAUAACUUACCAUGAAGGCCUAGGUUAAGUCUAGAUAAGAUGUGGGCUCCAAAUAAUGUUUUUAGCAUAGAGGAAGCAUCAGUUUGCCAUUUGUGUGGGUAAAGCUAGAAGGCCUGGCUCCCACAGCAGGGUGCUGGGAACAAUGGCUGAGCAUAAGUACAUAAACUAAUAAACACCAUAGCUUUGAACUGUAUGUAUGAAUCACCAUGAAAACUGAAGGGUCUGAAUCAGUGAAUGCAUCCUUGUGGCAAAGGUCAAUCAUUAUCAGGUUGCAGGACCAAUUACAAUGGCAACAAUACAGCAAGUGAAUCCAUGGAAACAACAGAAUAAUUAGAAUGGCCUUUUUCCCCAUUCUGACUUGUAAAGAAAGAUUUCCUUCCUUGGACUUAGAAAACACGUUAGGUUCUUGGAAAAUUCAAAGAAGGAAGAUACAGGAGAUAGUCCCAGGUGACAAUAAAAGAUUUUCUGCUAAAUUGAACAUUUCAAGAUCCAAUAACUCAUUAGAAAAGUCAGGCUAGGCAUAGUGGCUAGCAGUUUGAGAGGCUGAGGCAGAAGGAUUACUUAUGCUCAGGAGUUCAAGACCAUCCUAGGCAACAUAGGGAGACCUUGCCUCUAUAAAAAAAAA